UGUUGCCGCUCUACCUAGAAUGGCUCCCCUUAGAGAUGUGGGCAAGAAGGAAGGAAUUAGUCGAUAUCUGAAAUACCAGAGAUUGGCAUAGAAAAUCACUCCACAUGUGUCAACCAAACCAUUUGAAAGACUUAGAAGGUCUUUUUGAGGAAGCAGAGUGAUUUGUGAAGAGGAAUUCUUUAUCCUGAUAUAAGGAAAGCAGAAAAUAAGGACUACAAUAUUAUCAGUGCCUCUGGAUUUGAUCUCUUCCUUCUGCCAUUUUUCAUCCAUGACACCACUGAACACACGACCUUCACCUUUCUCUUCCUGUACAGACUCCCUUUCUGACAAUAAUCUUCUAGCUGGCUUCCCUGCAGCCAACUCUCCCUCUUCUAAUUUGGUCCAUGCACAGGGAGAGUAUAUUAUUUUACUUAAAUGUGAUGCUUGAGCCCGUACUUCCACCUCCUAGAACUGAGUUAUGACUUCUAAUUAAUUCCACGUGACAAGUAAAUAUUGAACAUACUGUGCAAGAUGCUUGGAGAAUAAAAACGUGAACAAGAUACCUAUCCUGCCCUUCGGAAAUGUACAGUCUAAAAGGAGUUUAUGAGUUAUAACCAACUCUCUGUAAUAUAAAGGAGAACACAGUGUCCUAAGAGAGUGAUGCUAUGUGGAACAACUAGGCUUAGAAAAUUCCUGAAAACUUAACAAUUGCGACCCUGCAGCAGGUACAAGGAGUGCACUGCUGGACAGACAGCUAUGAAAAUUGGGAUUCUAAAUCGGGGGAGGAACAGAUCUCAAGGAGAGGCCCAUUGGGUUCUGGAGUUGAGCCAUGAAGCGUAUGUAGGAUUUGGCCUCUGGAUAUUGGGGAAGCAUAUUUUGAGAGAAAAAUCGGGAAGGGUCUCUGAGGACAGAAAGCUUGGGGCCUGAAUGGAAGUAAUCAGUCGAUUGUUUGUUUACAUGUGAAUCCGUCUACUGGCCUCAUGCAGCACUAGCUGGCAUCUCCAGACACACCCAUUUUGAACCAGUGACAAUGAUGACAACAAUAAUAAUAAGGACGGCUAAUAAUUGCUGGAUGAUUGCUUGGGGCCAGGUACUGUUCUAACCGAGGAACCUGUGUCAUCCCUUGCAUGGACCUUCCCAGUUCCUUGUUUGCCGUGUCACUGAGCAGCCGCUGCUCCGUCUCUGGGUGUGGCCACUCCUCCCUGGGCUCCCACAGCGACUACCACUCACCACUGUUCCCACGCUACAGAGCAAGCUGCCAUUUGUCACCAAGCUUGCAAAAGCACCUUACGCAGAGUGAAGAACUACUUCUCUGUAUCCAUGAUUCGGACGUGUGAAAACAAAGUGCAGACGACUAUAUCUUUCAAGCAAGAAAACACUCAAAAGGCGAAUAUUCUUUCCCUUCUCCAAUGAGACAUACUGAUUACAUCAACAUUAUUUUCACGUGAAAGAUGAGCCCAGUUGCUUGUUGAAGGGGAACAAAAGGUACUGAAGAGAAGGACUCUUGUGUUCAUCUAAUCUCUUUUUGGCAUAGUUCGAACUCCAUUAAAGAUUCAUUAAAG